rnacentral:rRNA from 1 species
GUCGGGAAUUUUGCUCAAUGGGGGAAACCCUGAAGCAGCAACGCCGCGUGAGGGAUGAAGGCCUUCGGGUUGUAAACCUCUUUUUUCAGGGACGAUGAUGACGGUACCUGAAGAAUAAGUCACGGCUAACUACGUGCCAGCAGCCGCGGUAAUACGUAGGUGACCAGCGUUGUCCGGAUUUACUGGGCGUAAAGAGCACGCAGGCGGUCGUUCAAGUCGAGUGUGAAAGCCCCCGGCUCAACUGGGGAGGGUCAUUCGAUACUGAUCGACUUGAAGGCAGGAGAGGGAAGCGGAAUUCCCGGUGUAGUGGUGAAAUGCGUAGAUAUCGGGAGGAACACCAGUGGCGAAGGCGGCUUCCUGGCCUGUUCUUGACGCUGAGGCGCGAAAGCUAGGGGAGCAAA